UAAAUCCCGGUCGGAUGAGGGAUUCGAACCCGAGGAAUCGGACAAGCCGGGUUCGACGGGUGCCGCACCGCGGCACCCGAACAUCGUCGCAGGCGAUGGCCCGGAGGGCGAGCCACAGCGUGGCGAGUAAUCCCUCCCUCUCCGCCA
rnacentral:sRNA from 1 species